rnacentral:lncRNA from 1 species
AUCAAAACUGAAUAAUGAGGUCCUAUAUCGAUGAUCCAAAUUGUUGGAUGUGAUUUACUAUCUCAAAAUUACCUACACACCAAAAAUCAUAUGAUUUGAAGAUCCCUAACCUAUUCAUUAAGUGAUUAAAAAAUAUAUCUAAUUCAAUUUUAUUUAGUUUAUCUAAUUUUUGACUACUUCAUGCAUAAACUGCAGAUUUUCAAAUCAUAUAAUUUUUUUAUAUACAAGUAGUUUCAGUAUAGUAGAUUAUAUUCAAUGGGGAUUGAAUGUAAAAUGGUGAUUAAUCCAAAGGGUAA